rnacentral:rRNA from 1 species
GAUGAACGCUGGCGGCGUGCCUAAUACAUGCAAGUCGAGCGAACAGAUGAGGAGCUUGCUCCUCUGACGUUAGCGGCGGACGGGUGAUUAACACGUGGAUAACCUACCUAUAAGACUGUGAUACCUUCGUGAAACCGGAUCUACUACCGGAUAAUAUAUUGAACCGCAUGGUGCACUAGUGAGAUUCGGUUUUUCUGUCACUUAUAGCUGGAUCCGCCCAUCAUUAUUUAGUUGUUAAGGUAACUGCUUACCAACGCAACGAUGCGUAGCCGACCUCAGAGGGUGGUCCGCCAGCCUGGAAGUGAGACACGGUAGAGACUCCGACGGGAGGCCGCAGUCGGGAAUCUUACGCAAGGGGGGAAAGCAUGACGGAGCACCGCCGCGUGAGUCAUGAAGGUCUUAGGAUGGGAAAACUCUGUUAUUAGUGAAGAACAAAUGUGUAAGUACCUAUGCAGGUCUUGACGGUACCUAGUCAGAAAGCCACGGCUAACUACGUG